rnacentral:rRNA from 1 species
UACGUAGGUGGCGAGCGUUGUCCGGAUUUACUGGGUGUAAAGGAUGCGUAGGCGGAUGUUCAAGUCAGAUGUGAAAAUCCCGGGCUUAACUUGGGAAUUGCAUUUGAAACUGGAUAUCUGGAGUGCAGGAGAGGUGAGCGGAAUUCCUAGUGUAGCGGUGAAAUGCGUAGAUAUUAGGAAGAACACCGGUGGCGAAGGCGGCUCACUGGACUGUAACUGACGCUGAGGCAUGAAAGCGUGGGUAGCAAACAGGAUUAGAUACCCUGGUAGUCCACGCUGUAAACGAUGAAUAUUAGGUGUGGGAGGUAUCGACUCCUUCCGUGCCGUCGUAAACACAUUAAGUAUUCCACCUGGGGAGUACGGUCGCAAGAUUAAAACUCAAAGGAAUUGACGGGGGCCCGCACAAGCAGCGGAGCAUGUGGUUUAAUUCGAAGCAACGCGAAGAACCUUACCUGGACUUGACAUCCCCUGAAUAGAUUAGAGAUAAUUGAAGCCCUUCGGGGCAGGGAGACAGGUGGUGCAUGGUU